GACGAACGCUGGCGGCGUGCCUAAUACAUGCAAGUCGAACGCUUCUUUCCUCCCGAGUGCUUGCACUCAAUUGGAAAGAGGAGUGGCGGACGGGUGAGUAACACGUGGGUAACCUACCCAUCAGAGGGGGAUAACACUUGGAAACAGGUGCUAAUACCGCAUAACAGUUUAUGCCGCAUGGCAUAAGAGUGAAAGGCGCUUUCGGGUGUCGCUGAUGGAUGGACCCGCGGUGCAUUAGCUAGUUGGUGAGGUAACGGCUCACCAAGGCCACGAUGCAUAGCCGACCUGAGAGGGUGAUCGGCCACACUGGGACUGAGACACGGCCCAGACUCCUACGGGAGGCAGCAGUAGGGAAUCUUCGGCAAUGGACGAAAGUCUGACCGAGCAACGCCGCGUGAGUGAAGAAGGUUUUCGGAUCGUAAAACUCUGUUGUUAGUGAAGAACAAGGACGUUAGUAACUGAACGUCCCCUGACGGUAUCUAACCAGAAAGCCACGGCUAACUACGUG
rnacentral:rRNA from 1 species